rnacentral:rRNA from 1 species
ACAAGUACCGUGAGGGAAAGUUGCAAAGGACUUUGAAGAGAGAGUUCAAGAGAACGUGAAAUCCCAAGAGUAGAAGCAGAGCGAGUUGAAAUUGCUAAACGAUGAUAUAAUUAGGCUAUUGGCCGGUUAUGGAGUCGUGGUGCUGCGCUGGCUGCACUGUACGAGCUUUCAUUGACUAGUAAAUGUUGCCCAUUCUUCGGAUUGGUGUCUUGUUUAUUGGAAUAGCUUGCCGUUACAGUGUUUAACUUGAUAUCUUCGGAUAUGAGCCGGUGUUAAUGUCAAUUACCGCUCUGGCCCGUCUUGAAACACGGACCGAGGAGUGUUACUUAUGCGCGAGUCAGAGAGUUAUAUUAUUCUCAACGGCGUAAUGAAAGUAAAGGUUAAUUAAUUAACUGAGAUGAGAGGUUAGUCUCUUGUAGAUUAACUGCAUCAUCGCCCUGUCUCGAAAGCUUGCUUUUAGGCAGAGGUUGAGCGUAUAGGUAGCGACCCGAAAGAUGGUGAACUAUGCUUGAGCAGGAUGAAGCCAGAGGAAACUCUGGUGGAAGUC